rnacentral:tRNA from 1 species
CCGGAAUAGCUCAGUUGGUAGAGCAGAGGACUGAAAAUCCUCG